GCCAUCAGCAACAAAUGUGCCGCACAACAAUUGACAGUAUUAAUUGAAGAAAAUACUAGCAGUUCUAUGCAUGCAACUUUAAAAUUUUUGCGGUAAAUUUUUUAAGAUUAAACACUUUAAUCUAUUUUACAUGCAUAAGAUCUAAUCUAAACUACCAUACCAAAAUUUAUGGUAUGAUUUGAUAUGAGUUUAAGAUAUAAAAUAAAAAUCAGCAUUGAUCAUAUCGAUGCUAUUGAUUAGAUCUAACCC
rnacentral:lncRNA from 1 species